rnacentral:rRNA from 1 species
GAUGAACGCUGGCGGCGUGCCUAAUACAUGCAAGUCGAGCGAACAGACGAGGAGCUUGCUCCUCUGACGUUAGCGGCGGACGGGUGAGUAACACGUGGAUAACCUACCUAUAAGACUGGGAUAACUUCGGGAAACCGGAUCUAAUACCGGAUAAUAUAUUGAACCGCAUGGUUCAAUAGUGAAAGACGGUUUUGCUGUCACUUAUAGAUGGAUCUGCGCCGCGUUAGCUAGUUGGUAAGGUAACGGCGUACCAAGGCAACGGUGCGUAGCUGACAUGCGAGGGUGGGGGGGCACACCGGAACGGAGAAACGGCCCAGACUCCAACGAGAGGCAGCAGAGGGGAAUCUGCCGCGAAGGACGGGAGCCUGACGGAGCAACGCCGCGUGAGUGAUGAAGGUCUUCGGAUCGUAAAACUCUGUUAUUAGGGAAGAACAAAUGUGUAAGUAACUAUGCACGUCGUGACAGUACCUAAUCAGAAAGCCACGGCUAACUACGUG